GAGGCAGCAUUUAAACCAGAAGUCAAUGGAGAGCUGGACACCCAGAACUUUAUGAAAUUUGAUGAGUUGGAUCCUCCACCAGCAAGAACUGGUUCAGGACCCUCAAGGAAGAUGCUAUUAACUCCGAAAGAUUUAAGUUUUGUUGGCUAUACAUACAAGAAUUUUGAUGCUGUCAAAGGGCUACAUGCUUUUGGUGGUUCUGCAGCAGAUUAUCAUACCAAACGGCCUGCUGAGGAAACGGAAGUGCAAAUGCUUGCAUCAUCAGGCGAUCCCAUGCUACCAUAAUAUAACAAAAUCACUAUCCUACAAUGCGGAUGCUUGCUUAUCCCAUUUUGAGUUGGGUGUUUCUCCAAAAUCCAUAACAUGUAUGGGUUGGCUUCCAUACAUCUUGAAGAACCACUGCUCAAAGUGUACAGCAGUUAUUGAGGAACUUCUUAAAAGCCCACUGAUGGGUUAACUGGUAGGACAAGUGAGAUUUUUAUUUUUAUAGCUGAAAAGGCUCUGUGUAUUAGAUUUAGAACAGACCUGUGAAACUUAGGCCCUGGCUGCCCAGGUAGGCUAUGGUAAAACAUGCCUUCUCUAGCGGCAGUUU
rnacentral:misc_RNA from 1 species